AAGCAAUUGCUGGUUGUGAGGGGGUCUUUUAAUGAUGCAUCAUUCCAAGUGUUUCUUUAAUUGGGGAAUGUCCCUGAUUCUUACUCUGCUCGAGAAGAACUAAUUAGAGAGUCAUUUCGGCAAGGGUAAAUAGUAUCAUCACAGCACUUAAAAAAUGAGUCACCUGCUUUACGAAAUGUUCUGCAAAGACAAAAGAAAUGGGUCUGAAUUUCCUCGGUUAGGAACUUUGUGUUUUGACCUUGGCUGUGUCACGCUACACAGAUCAACCUGCCUUUUUGUACGAGUGAUGAAUAAAUAGACAAAACCGAAACGACAGCUAACAUGUAUAUAUCUAAGGAAAAAAACCGGUAUCUUCCCAUCUCAAGCCUUCUUACGGCGUUACGUCAACUGGAUUCGUUUUGAAAUUUUACAUUCUCUUUAACACGUUCAGUCUUUUUUAAUUUCAACUUUCUGCAACCAAGCUGUUUUUCCACCGCCAUAUCAACACGAAAUAGAUGAGUUUCCUUCCCUGCAUAUGUAGCACUGACUCCAAAACUCAUUAGAAGUUAUUAGUGAGCAUGCAUGAGAACGUCUUUGAAUCUGCGAAAAGUUCAGCCGGUGCCAUUCAGAAAGACGGCUGAUGGUACUGUCUUACAUAACAGUGUAUAUAGACGGAGAUCGCCUAUCGUUUGCAUCCAGAAUCUUGGGCUCUCCGUAUUACCAUCAAAACAUUAACGAGAUACACACACGUUCUUCGUAGAAACUGACGGGAGGGGAAAGAGUACAUACACCAAUAAAAAUCAAAACGAUUUAAAUGAGGCAAGGCUAUUGGGUACGGAUUCAUGCUGGUAAGUAUAAUGAUGAUUUAACCUUACGAAAUGGAGAAGAUGGACCUUUCUUGUUUUAAACUAGUGUUCUUCGGCAGGAAUGGUUUCAGUUGACAGGAAUCAACAUGGACUAAGAUCUUAUAGUCCUAUUUCACAGGAGUCAACUAGGACUUUCAACUUUAAGUCCGUGUACCUUACCCGUAUAGUACUGAAAGUGAAAUAAUUUCCAUGUUGAAAUUCUUUUGUCUGAGACAAUACUAAUCCAUUACUUACUUGGAUAUGUAUAUAACUUUUAUGAGAGUUUCUUCAAAUAUAAUAACCAGAUUCUCUCACGUAUAAGUGCAGAAUAAAAUUAAUUCAAAAAGUUCAUUUUCCUACAAGCAAGACGGCUGAUUCCAGAUAGAAAAAUUCCACCGACGAAGCCACAGUCUUCCUAUAAGCUGCUUUCACAUUUUGGGUUUGCCAGAAGAGUUCAACAGAGUUGUCUACCCCCUGAUGGUAAGGCGCUUACUACUAACCAGUGUCUCAACCUAAAUGUCGGUCUGUCACCCUCUUGAGUUCAGGAUUGAAGCACUCAACAUCCGGGACUCAACCCUUGUCUAUGGAAACUUUUCCCUUCGUAUUCGACAUGCGUCUCUAUUCUGAUUUAAUUGAUUUUGAUACCAUAUUGUAAAAUGUGAAUUUCAAUGGUGUCAUUAAAAUUACGAAAUUGACAACAUGAAUACUUAGUAAAUUACACAACAUGACACCUGAUUGUAAGAUGAUUUUUCAAUAAAAGAAAUGAAAAUG